AACUCUGAAUUAUCUUCUUCUUCAUCUUCAUCUUCCACUUCUUCUCCUUGUCUCUCUUGCUUCUCUUCUUUCUCUUUAGGCACCAGGUGAGAAGUGCUAGUCCCAGAGGGAGGGGUUGCAAUCACUUCCCAAACAAAAAGAAAAGAUUCAUCAACACCCCAAACUU
rnacentral:ribozyme from 13 species